ensembl:misc_RNA Metazoa_SRP Metazoan signal recognition particle RNA
UCCAGAGAGUAAUCGGGAGGCUGAGGUGGGAGGAUCAGGAGUUCUGGGAUAUAGUGCACUAUGCCGAUCAGGUGUCUGCACUAAGUUUGGCAUCAAAUAUGAUGACCUCCCAGGAAUGGGGGACCACCAGGUUGCCUAAGGAGGGUUGAACCGGCCCAGGAUGGAAAUGGAGCAGGUUAAAACUCCCGUGCUGAUCAGUAGUGGGGUUGUGCCUAUGAAUAGCCACUGCACUUCAGCCUCGGCAACAUAGUGAGACCCCAUCUCUC